UAGUCAUAUGCUUGUCUCAAAAAUUACCCUUUGCAUGUCUAAGUAUAAGCAAUUAUACCGCGAAACUGCGAAGGGCUCAUUAUAUAAGUUAUCGUUUAUUUGAUAGUACCUUACUACUUGGAUAACCGGGGUAAUUCUAAAGCUAAUACAUGCUAAAAAUCCCGACUUCGGAAGGGAUGUAUUUAUUAAAUUAAAAACCAAGGCCCUUCGGGGCUCACUGGGGAUUCAUGAUAACUCCUCAAAUCGCAGGGCCUUGUGCCGGCAAUGGUUCAUUCAAAUUUCUUCCCUAUCAACUUUCGAUGUUUGGGUAUGGGCCAAACAUGGUUGCAACGGGUAACGGAGGGUUAGGGCUCGACCCCGGAAAAGGAGCCUGAAAAACGGCUACUACAUCCAAGGAAGGCAGCAGGCGCGCAAAUUACCCAAUCCCGACACGGGGAGGUAGUGACAAUAAAUACUGAUACAGGGCUCUUUUGGGUCUUGUAAUUGGAAUGAGUACAAUUUAAAUCCCUUAACGAGGAACAAUU
rnacentral:rRNA from 1 species